UCCAAGUUAAAGUUAUUAAGCCUCAAUCCUGAUGUGUUUGUGCAUAAUAAUGCUGUUUGAACAGAACCCAUGAAGUCUUGUCUAUUAUAUCCUUACUAGACGAGCAACAUGAUGUCAGAACUUGGAUUCCAGAGACUGAUAUUCAGAGCCACAAGGUGCAGAGACAACAGUGAAGGUAAACUAAAAGAAACGAGCAUGAACAAGAGCCAGAAAAGAAACAAAGGCAUGAAGAGAGCCAAGAUCACCUUUAGAAUACAGGAAAAAACUUCAGACCUCAGAAAGAAUUACAAAAUCAGAUACCAUACUGGAAGGACAAGUGGUCAAGAAAGCUUUUUUUUUUUUUUUUUUUUUUUUAGAUUAUAAGAUUUUCAAGCUAUUUCUCCACACAGCCUUUUCAUAGUGGUUUGGAGAAGACUGGAGGUCAAAUAUUGGAAAAUUGGACACAUCAAUGAACAGUAAAGACAUUGUGUUAGCUUUCCCAGUGCCUCAGCAGUGAUUGGGAGAACACAGAGCAAGGCUUACUCUAUUUUGAAUCCAGCAAUAGCUAUGUUGGAGUAGUCAACUAUCAAGACUACUGGAUUAUCAAUAAAAAAGCCAGAACUGAAGACCAUA